GGCAGCUUAGCAAAGUGGUUACUGCGAUUGAUUCGAAUCCAAAGGAUUGGAACUUAUCAAUUCCUCUUCGAGGGCGCAGGUUCGAGUCCUGCAGCUGUCG